AAAAAACAGGCAAAUGUAAUAUUAUGAAAUACGCACCUCUUUGGUAUGUUGUCUGUGCAGUUAUAUUGUUCUUUGUUCCUUUGUAAGUAUGGAGAAGUUGAAAUUAUUUCACAGCAUGAUGGCAAAAAGUCUUAAUACCAGACCUUGGGACUCUUAUUGCUAUGACUCUGUAGGAUUUUCUUGAUUACAAAAGACAGAGAAGAAACAAAGUCUUGAAGCUGCCUGUAUAAAGCUGCCUAAAUCCUGUCAGUGAUUGCUAUGGAGCAGCAACAUGAAGCAGAAAAAGCAGAACACUUCCUGGCAUCACAGAGAUGUGGAUAAAUAUGCAGGAUAUUCGCUGAAUGCAGCGGCAACAUGGGUUGUAUUUUGUUGGUUUAUAUGAAAUGAAUAAUUACUCAGAGAAAAACAGAUAGUUUUACUUCAGGAAACAGCAGUUUAUAAUUCUUCACCUUCCAAAUAGGAACAAGUGAACCCAGCACAUAUCUGGUUAUAUUCCAAUGCGCUUUUGUUUGCCUUGGCAUUUGCUUCACUUUUACUUAAAUUAGUCCAAGUUGCUUGGGUGGUGUUAAUCAUUCUGUUGUUUGUCUACAUGUUCAGUAUCCUUAAAGCUUGUAGUAGUAAUGGGCUGAUGUUUUUUUUUUCAAGUAGACUGGUUCACUUUCCUCAGUAUCGGUGCAAACUACAGAAAAUCAAUGGUGGCAAGUUAUUAAUUUUCAGUUUUCAUUGUGAAUUGAAUAACAUUAUGGUGUUUAGAUGAAUAAUACACUAUGUCUAAUGGUGCCUGGUAUUAUAAAUUAUACUUUGAAUAUAAUCUUCCCUUUGAAAGCUAAGAAAUUUUGCCCUGGCAUAUGCUCUUGAUCUGUUUAAGUCUCACACAUAAAAAAAGAAAUCACAUGUACCUGAGGAGGAUUCUGACAUUAUUUUUCUCUGAAUAAAGUUUGUAGAAUCAAUUGUGUAACAGAAUAAAAUAUUUUUUUUUCUAAAAAAUGCAGUGUUAAAAUAGGCAUAAAAUCUAUUUGUAAAACAACACAAAAAUAUUUUUAGUACUAUUUUGUCUUUAAAAUGUUCUAGUUAGCAAUAGAAAUAAUAUGUAUUAGAUAAAUACUGUCAACAUUAUUAAUGCCAAAUCCUAGAUCCAUUGUAAGGAAAGAAGAAUGCUGUCAUCACUAUCUGCAAGACUCAGUUGUAACUUUGGAUUACACAGUGUUGAAGAAGGGGAGCUAGUGUAGAUGCACCAAUAAAGAGAAGUUGAAAAUCCACAGUCAAUGUAUAACUCAUCAUAAAAAUGCCCAGGGAGAUUUCUCUAAUAAAAAGGAGCAGGAACAUGAGCGGCAACAGAAGAACCUGGCUGCACUGCAUCUUGCAGCAGCUUGGACAGUCUCUUCAGAAGGUGCUGCAUAUCUGUCUUUUACCAAGAUGAAGGCAUGGAUUCAGAGCAGUCACCUUAUGCCAGGCAAAGCACUGAGGAGACAGCUGACUAUCUCCAAUGACAAGUACAUAAUUAAAAGAUUACAGAUUGCCUCAAUGUGAUCUUGCGGAAGAUCAACAACCAAAGCUGAUUCUCUAAACGGUGUGAUUGUCCCUUCGUUAAACUAAAGCUGUGUGACUUGACAUGGGUAACUUUGACACAGAAUUACAUAAUUUGAAUAAAAGUAACCUUUUAGUUCAUUAUGAAACCUGAUGGAGAUACUUGGCAUCUUUCAUGUUCCUUUGAACUCCUUUUUAGUUCCUUGCUAUCCUAAUGGCUGCUAGACUUUACAGUUAACAGUUCAAAGCCUGAUUUAUGUUACCAAUUAAAAAAUACCUAAAAGCCAUUGAAAACAAGAAUUGUGGGCACAAAAGUAUGCAGUCCAGGUCUGUCCACCAGGUUUACCAAGCCUUUUACUGGAUCUGGGUGCUGAAUUUUGACUCACAAAGGUUUCAGAUCUUGGUGACUGACAGAAAAGAGAAGAUCAAAAAAUCACUGGUGUAGUUUUAUUAUUGUGCAGAGUAGUUUGACUCUUCAGUCUCUCGUCUGAUAUCUAAACAAGAUAGUAUGUGUAAUUGAUAAAUAUGGCAGCGAGAGCUGGGAAGAGAACAAAUAGUGCUUUCCAGUUACAGCAUCAUGGGUUAACAUGUGAUGUGAAUGUGUAACUUGACCGUGGAGAUUACAGAAACAAAGGACACUGUGACCAGCACUAAUAGUGAGCUGAUUUUACAUUGGGAAUGCCCGCACUGUGCAGUGGUUGGGGGCUGGCAAUUUUGGAGCUAGGAGGAACAUUUUAUGCUUCA